AUGCUAAUACCGGAUAACAACAGAUGAUGCCUAUCAACUGUUUAAAAGAUGGUUCUGCUAUCACUCUUGGAUGGACCUGCGGUGCAUUAGCUAGUUGGUAGGGUAACGGCCUACCAAGGCGAUGAUGCAUAGCCGAGUUGAGAGACUGAUCGGCCACAUUGGGACUGAGACACGGGCCCAAACUCCUACGGGGAGGCAGCAGAC
rnacentral:rRNA from 1 species